GCCCGAAGCCACUAGUGUUGCUCCUGCUGGCGCUCGGCGGAGUCUAAUGGUUCGCGCCUGGAAGAGGGGGUCAGACGAGGUCGCGGCAGUCUCGGCAACGGUGGAGCCCCUGCCUCAGCUCGCACUGGCUCCGCCCCCUCGCUUCCACGCCCCUGAAUGCCAGCCGGAAUGAGAUUUUCAAGACAGCGCAAAGAGACAGAAGACAGAGACCAGAGUCUGACAUCAACAGAAGUUUAUUUCAAACAGAAAGACUCUCCUGAGGGAAAUGGGUGUCUUGGAAGGGAGUAAGCUAGCUGGGGUCCUUUAUAAAGGCCAGUGGGAGACUUGGAAAUGAAAUUCUUGCAGCCACAGGGCUAUGUGUUGGUCUGUGAUGUGUCUUACCUGGAUUUGUUUGAUUUACAAAAGACCGUUCGACUUGGGUGGCAGGCUCCUCCAGCAGAGAUUAUCUGGAUUGUGGCUGACUGAAGAAUUUGGUCAAGGUCAGCUCUAUUCCCACAGAAAUCCUGUUUUAUAGCUGAGGCACUUUGUCACCUCAGACAAUUUCUUUUAAUUGAAAAGUUUUUAUUUUAUAGACCCACCCUAUCUUGAGAAUUGCCGGAAGACAAUCUCCAACCUUGCUCUUAGACCAAGAGUAGACAGUCUUCACUGUUAAUGUUUUUACUCUUUGUGGAAUCAGGUCAGUAGGGCAAGUUGUCUUGCUCUGAGGAUGUAACCUGUCAGAGAUCCUUCAGAGUCCUUAUUUAGAUCCGGAUCACCUCAGCUGUACACCCGUGCUUUUGUAGGGAUGUGGUUAAAAGGCCCUGCUUCCUAUGGGCGGAUGCGAAGUGAUACUGUUGCAAUUCCUGCUAAGUAGAGGAGUACAAAGUAGACUUUCUACCAGCAAGGCUCGAUUGGCUGGAUAUCUUGGCCGUGAGCAAUCCGCCCGCUUGUACAUUAUUGCUUCAAUGACAAAGCGUCAUCCAUACUGCCAUCUUGAGUUGCUGCAUCCCUAAUUCUUUCCCAAUGUUUCUAUUAAUAAUAAUGCAGAGUAAGAAAUUGGGUAUGAACUGUUUUCUUUCCAUGAAGGCAUUACCGCACACUGUUCUGAUAGGUAUCCAGGCACAGACACUUCUGUAUAGCUUCUGAUGCCAAAGAGAACCAGGAACCUGUAGCUUAGGAGGGGAUCUUGAUAAGUAAACACCGAGGCUAUAUUAAAGUGUAAUUAAAAGUAGUAGAUAUCAGUGUUAAGUCUCAAACCCUGGGACAAAUGGCCGAGGUGUCUAUUUAAUAUCAAAGCAGAUCCGACCUCCAGGUUCUCCCAGCAUCCCUCAGUCCCUACCUGUUACAGGAUAUGGCUGGCAUACCCUGCCUUCUACCCCAGAACUCUCCAGCCCAGGGACCAGGCUGCCCUUCCCUAGGUGCCUCUUCCCUAUAUAAUCCAGCCUUUUUGGUCACCUGCCCCUCUUGCACUUUUGACCUCUUGGCUACAGCACUGGGUUCUUCUCUCUCCCCUCUCCCCACACAGCCCAGCUCAGCCUGGUCACAUGUACUCUGGACAGAUGUCUCUGUCUCUGGCUAAGCUCUCCCACAUAUCUAUAAUAAACUUCCUCCUCUACCGUA
rnacentral:sRNA from 1 species